CGCAGUUGAUUCAAAAUCAACCGUAGAAAUACGUGCCGGUUCGAGUCCGGCCUUCGGCACCA
rnacentral:tRNA from 1 species